GACGAACGCUGGCGGCGUGCUUAACACAUGCAAGUCGAACGGAAAGGCCUGCUUUCCCUUGUGGAUUGCGGGUACUCGAGUGGCGAACGGGUGAGUAACACGUGAGUGAUCUGCCCCCAACUUGGGUAUAAGCCUGGGAAACUGGGUCUAAUUCCCGAUAGGACUGCAGGGUGGUGCCUGUGGUGGAAAACGAUUUUCUAGUGGUUGGGGAUGAGCUCGCGGCCUAUCAGCUUGUUGGUGGGGUAAUGGCCUACCAAGGCGGCGACGGGUAGCCGGCCUGAGAGGGUGGACGGCCCCAUUGGGACUGAGAUACGGCCCAGACUCCUACGGGAGGCAGCAGUGGGGAGUAUUGCACAAUGGGCGGAAGCCUGAUGCAGCGACGCCGCGUGGGGGAUGACGGCCUUCGGGUUGUAAACUCCUUUCGACCGCGAGGAAGCCACCUGGUUGGAAGGGUGGUGACGGUAGUGGUAGAAGAAGCACCGGCUAACUACGUG
rnacentral:rRNA from 1 species